GAUGAAGGAACGUAGCGAAAUGCGAUAAGUAGUGUGAAUUGCAGAAUUCAGUGAAUCAUCGAAUCUUUGAACGCACAUUGCGCCCUUUGGUAUUCCAAAGGGCAUGCCUGUUCGAGCGUCAUUUGUACCCUCAAGCUUUGCUUGGUGUUGGGCGUCUUGUCUCUAGCUUUGCUGGAGACUCGCCUUAAAGUAAUUGGCAGCCGGCCUACUGGUUUCGGAGCGCAGCACAAGUCGCACUCUCUAUCAGCAAAGGUCUAGCAUCCAUUAAGCCUUUUUUUCAACUUUUGACCUCGGAUCAGGUAGGGAUACCCGCUGAACUUAAGCAUAUCAAUAAGCGGAGGA
rnacentral:misc_RNA from 1 species